CUGUGGUGUUAGAUACACACAGGUCUGAUAAAUAAUCCAGGAACCUUGGUUCUCGAUUUCUCCUGAGUAAAUUAACAAAGGUCUCUAUUUCUUUAGCCGUGAUGUGUUUCUCUAGCAGUUUUCUGUUGUUGUGCAGCAAAGCGGUGAUGGUGUCUUCUGCCAAAAUAUCAUAACCAAUCUGGGACUGCAUGACGCAGAAGUUCUUAGCAAUAUAUUCCUGGUUCUUCCUAUAGUCCUGCUGGGAAUGUCUGAGAACUCUGUAACACAACCUUAACAUGUAUUUGUAUGGGGCAUAUCUCUGGUCACCUAGGUCUUCAAGUCUCAGCAUUGAUCCUUCACCUUUGUCCUUAAAAGGAGCUUUGAGGAUCCCGAAUAUCUGAGCCAAAAUAUUUUGUUCCCGCAUUAAUUUUUGUCGUUCCCGGUUUGGCUUAGUAAUGACCACAUCCAAAACUUCCUGCCCAUUGUUAGGCACAUCAGACACAAAGAAAAUCAGAUCUUCUAGUAACUUGGUCACAAAUCUCCUUUCAUUCUGGGUUAUUG
rnacentral:lncRNA from 1 species